rnacentral:rRNA from 1 species
GAGAGUAUCCUCAGGUGAGCGAGAGAACUCUCGUUAAGGAACUCGGCAAAAUGGCCCCGUAACUUCGGGAGAAGGGGCGCUGGUCGCAAGAUCAGCCGCAGUGAAAAGGCCCAAGCAACUGUUUAUCAAAAACACAGGCAUCUGCAAAAUCGUAAGAUGAAGUAUAGGUGCUGACACCUGCCCGGUGCUGGAAGGUUAAGAGGAGAGCUUAGCGCAAGCGAAGGUUUGAAUUGAAGCCCCAGUAAACGGCGGCCGUAACUAUAACGGUCCUAAGGUAGCGAAAUUCCUUGUCGGGUAAGUUCCGACCUGCACGAAAGGUGUAAUGAUUUGGGCACUGUCUCAACGAGAGACUCGGUGAAAUUAUAAUACCCGUGAAGAUGCGGGUUACCCGCGACAGGACGGAAAGACCCCAUGGAGCUUUACUGCAGUUUAAUAUUGGGUAUCUGUCAAGCAUGUACAGGAUAGGUAGGAGCCGGAGAAGAUAGGACGCCAGUCUUAUCUGAGGCGCUGUUGGGAUACUACCCUUGCUUGACGGAUGCUCUAACUCAGGCCUGUGAUCCAGGCCGAGGACAGUGUUUGACGGGCAGUUUGACUGGGGCGGUCGCCUCCUAAAGUGUAACGGAGGCGCCCAAAGGUUCCCUCAGAAUGGUUGGAAAUCAUUCGCAGAGUGUAAAGGUAAAAGGGAGCUUGACUGCGAGAGAGACAACUCGAGCAGGUACGAAAGUAGGGCUUAGUGAUCUGGUGGUACCGUAUGGAAGGGCCAUCACUCAACGGAUAAAAGCUACCCUGGGGAUAACAGGCUUAUCUCCCCCAAGAGUUCACAUCGACGGGGAGGUUUGGCACCUCGAUGUCGGCUCGUCGCAUCCUGGGGCUGAAGUCGGUCCCAAGGGUUGGGCUGUUCGCCCAUUAAAGCGGCACGCGAGCUGGGUUCAGAACGUCGUG